rnacentral:rRNA from 1 species
UACGUAGGGGGCAAGCGUUGUCCGGAUUUAUUGGGCGUAAAGAGCGUGUAGGCGGCUUUGCAAGUCCGUUGUGAAAACUCGAGGCUCAACCUCGAGACGCCGGUGGAAACUGCAAAGCUAGAGUCCGGAAGAGGAGAGUGGAAUUCCUGGUGUAGCGGUGAAAUGCGCAGAUAUCAGGAAGAACACCCGUGGCGAAGGCGGCUCUCUGGGCCGGUACUGACGCUGAGACGCGAAAGCGUGGGGAGCAAACAGG